ACCCAUAUUUGAAUUGAUUUACCUUGAGUUAGGGUUGAGAAUUAAUGUAUGUGUUGAAAAGGUUCAAGUUUGGGGUUGUAUGGGGAAAGUAAAAGGCAAAAGCAUAAGCAUUGAGUUCAAAAAGAUGAAAGAGAAAAAUGCAUGAGAAAAAGAAAGAAAAGAAGAAAAGAGAAAAAGCAUGUAAAGUGAACUCAAUGUAAAAGGAAAAAGGGAAAAAGUUGGGAAUGAGUGAGAUUGGUUAAAAAGAGAGUGUGCUUGAACUUUAAAUGAUAAUUUAAACUCUCUUAACUCAAGGAUUUUGUAUUCCAGAAAAACCAUUUUUUCUUGAAAGCCCGACCACAAUACAAGCCUUGGAAAAGUCCUUGUGAUGACAUGUGCAUGUGAAGAUUUUGAUUGUUUUAAGAUGAAUGACAAUACUGUUUUA
rnacentral:lncRNA from 1 species